rnacentral:rRNA from 1 species
AAUGAACGCUGGCGGCGUGCCCAACACAUGCAAGUCGGAUGUGCCCGCAAGGGUGCAUGGCAGACGGGUGAGUAACGCGUGGGGAAUCUACCUUUUAGUGGGGGAAUAACGCUCCGAAAGGAGUGGUAAUACCGCAUGUGACCAUUGGCUGGGAUGCUGAUGGUGAAACCCUGGGACCUUCGGGCCAGGGGCGUAGAAGAGGAUCCUGCGUCUGAUUAGCUAGUUGGCGGGGUAACGGGCCCACCAAGGCGACGAUCGAUAGCUGGUCUGAGAGGAUGAUCAGCCACACUGGAACUGAGACACGGUCCAGACUCCUACGGGAGGCAGCAGUAGGGAAUAUUGGACAAUGGGGGCGAACCCUGAUCCAGCCAUGCCGCGUGAGUGAAGAAGGCCCUCGGGUUGUAAAGCUCUUUUGUCCGGAAAGAAAGACAUCUGGUUAAUACCCGGGUGUUCUGACGGUACCGGAAGAAUAAGCACCGGCUAACUUCGUGCCAGCAGCCG